rnacentral:rRNA from 1 species
GACGAACCGUGCGAACGUUGUUCGGAAUCACUGGGCUUAAAGGGCGCGUAGGCGGGCGAUCAAGUCAGGGGUGAAAUCCUCCAGCUUAACUGGAGAACUGCCUUUGAUACUGGUCAUCUUGAGUGAGGUAGGGGCGUGCGGAACUGAUGGUGGAGCGGUGAAAUGUGUUGAUAUCAUCAGGAACUCCGGUGGCGAAAGCGGCGCGCUGGACCUUUACUGACGCUGAGGCACGAAAGCCAGGGGAGCGAACGGG